UCACGAAUCGUAUGGGCUCGU
rnacentral:misc_RNA from 1 species